rnacentral:lncRNA from 1 species
UAUAUACAUAAAUACAUUCUAUAUAUAUAUAUAUGGGUUUGUUAACACGCGUACGUCUAUUUUUCAGUUGGUACGUUUUAACAAUGUGUACCGGAUUAUAGUGGACAAAAAUACCCUCAUUUAUCAUGGAUUCUAAGUUUUAAGGUCAAGGAUAUUUAAAUAAUUUUCAUUCUCAAAACUAAAAAAUAAAAAGAAACCCCGAAACCUUUAGUCACCUCCCUCAUUCCUCUCAACCAUUUCUCUUUCAUCUCUCUCACUCCAACAUUUUCUCUAUCAUCCUGUUGCCUCAAUUGAAAAAAAAAAUCAGAAACCCUUGCCUAACCCUAAUCCACCUUCCUCACUUAUCCAAUUUGUUUCUCUCUCGUCUCCAUACUCUCCCUCA